rnacentral:rRNA from 1 species
UACGUAGGGUGCGAGCGUUGUCCGGAAUUAUUGGGCGUAAAGGGCUCGUAGGCGGUUUGUCGCGUCGGGAGUGAAAUCAUCUGGCUUAACUGGGUGCUUGCUUUCGAUACGGGCAGACUAGAGGUAUGCAGGGGAGAACGGAAUUCCUGGUGUAGCGGUGAAAUGCGCAGAUAUCUGGAGGAACACCGGUGGCGAAGGCGGCAUCCUGGACCAACACUGACGCUGAGGAGCGAAAGCCAGGGGAGCGAACGGG